AUGGGAACAUUAUUGAUGGUAAAGGUCAUCUGCAGAGAAGAAAGGGAAAUAAACACCUCCUGUUCCAAUAAUUGCUGUGCUUGGGGGUUUGGGAGACGUGAUACCAUCUACAUGCUGGAAAUCAGGGAGAGGACAAAUGACACCGAUUAGAGAGGCACCGAUUAAUGAUAUAUCCGUGGCUGCAGACAAAAGGUUUCCCAUAGGUGUACCUGGAUCAGAAGGACAGAAAACACUGACAGAUGGAUCAGAUACUUCAGCAAAAAGAUUAGAAUGAAGGGCACCAGCAAACCCUUCUGAGGGAGAAGACGGAUAUUAAAAGCGUCUACCUCUCGAGCCACUGCACCCCCGUUGAAAUAAGGAAGAGGGCCUGAGAUGUCUGCAGGAUAUACACCCCUGGAAGUCACCUCACUUGCACUGUAUCCUCUUUAAAUGGGGAACAGGGUUUGUAUAAAAGGAUCCUCCUCAAUCAGUAUCUCCACUGAGGUCUGGGC